rnacentral:rRNA from 1 species
CCUACGGGUGGCAGCAGUAGGGAAUCUUCCACAAUGGGCGAAAGCCUGAUGCAGCCACGCCGCGUGUGUGAAGAAGGCCUUCGGAUCGUAAAACCCUGUUGGUGGAGAAGAAAGUGCGUUAGAUUAUCAGCUCAGGAUUUGACGGUACCUGAAGAGAAAGCAACGGCUAACUCCGUGCCAGCAGCCGCGGUAAUACGGAGGGGGCAAGCGUUAAUCGGAAUUAUUGGGCGUAAAGCGCACGCAGGCGGUCUGUUAAGUCCGAUGUGAAAGCCCUGGGCUUAACCGGGGUAGUGCAUUUGAUACUGGGAGGCUUGAGUGUCGAAGAGGGGAGUGGAAUUCCAGGUGUAGCGGUGAAAUGCGUAGAGAUAUGGAAGAACACCGGUGGCGAAGGCGGCUCUCUGGUC